UCGUAUCUCCAGGGCGCAACGGGAACUUAUCGUCCAUUGAUACUGCACGCGAGUUUCGCUCAUUCGCGUGUCGUUAGCGGCAGUUAAAUAAUCGAAGUGGAUUAUCGUAUAGGACCUGCAGGUCGAGCUAAACAUGGCAGAGUUACUGAAUUGGCGUGCGAAGUCGUCUAUGUCGCCAUCUAUGUCGCCAAUGAUCAAUGAAGAGGGAAGAAAAAUCAUUUUUACACCUUGAACAGCAAGGCAUCAGGUAUUCUUUUUUAUCGAGCAAAAUAAAAUGAUGUAAAUUAAAUUUUUAAUACAUCUUUACGUUGUUUUCUUGACAUAAAUUACAACUUUAUACGUUAAGAUAAUAUUAUAAACUUUAAAAAGUGUUAAGGACUAAGUUAUUAAUUAUUUACGAUUACCAAUGUUUGAAUGAAUUUAUCUAUCAAUCUAAGAUUUAAUUUUUUUCGGAGCAAAAUUAACUGUUACAUGAGGUUUGGUAGAAAAAUAUUGAUUGCCGGUAAAGUAGAUCGCAUCUAAUACUUUUAAAAAAUAUGCAUGAAGAAACUUUUUAAACAAUUUUUUAUUGAUAUUAUUAAAUCUUUGUAAUAAUUAAUAAAUCUGGUUGUAUUUGAUAAGUAAGAAAAUAUUAAAUUACACGAAUAUAAAAUAAUAAAAAUAAUGCAUCUUACAAAAAUGGGGAUUAAGGUUUCAAAUAAGUAGAUCUUGCUUUUGGUCACAAAGAUUCCGAUUUAUUCUUAGGAUUUAUAAUAAAGAUUUACGCCGUACAAAUCGCAGCCUUCAUGAUGGAAAUUGAGAUGGUUUACUGGAAUAAAAAAAGGUGUUUUGCCAAAUUUCAAAAAUGUCAUGGAUGAUAAAAAAUUUUGAAAACAAAUAACCGCAACCAUGAGUAUGUAAAAAAUAUAUAACAUGAAGAAAUGUAAUGAUACAUUGAUUAAAACAUGCUUAGAGUAAAAGUUACCUUUGAAAAUGAUGAAAUGAAAUAUGUACGAUUGGAGCACAUAAAUUAUAUAAAGCCAUGAUGAAAAUGUUUACAAUAAAAAAAAAAAAAAAAAA